rnacentral:lncRNA from 1 species
GCACAGGCCGGCCCUCUCGCGGGACUCAGUUUCCCCGUCUGCGCGCCCCACAUAUUCGCUUUCCGCAGGUUCUCUCGCUGAGAUUCGCGUCCUUCAAACUAAUGGAACUUUGCAAGGGGGCCCUGCGGCGGCUUCGCGUGGGAGCGCCGGGGAAAGUUCCUGCAAAUCGCCGGACUGGGGGCCCGCCCGGGAAGCUCGGACUGGGCCGGGCAGGGACUGCAGGGGCCUCUGCGCAGACCCGGGGCGUUGCGGCACCGCGGACCCCGGUCACGCGCUGGUUCUGCCCCCGGUACCCCGCACGCGGGACCCUGACCGCGGGGCCUCUGCGGCCGGACGAAGGCAGCGUCCGCGGAGCUGGCAGAAAGCCCGCGCCCAGACCCACAGUGAAGUGAUAAAAGCAGAGAGCAGAAAGGAGAAAACUGAGGGCCAGAAAGGGUGACUCCCCUGAGUGUCAUGCCACAAGUUGAGUGCUGGAGCCAGGACACCUUCCAAACCGGCUGUGCCUGCCUGCAAGCCCCAUCCUCCUCCAUCCCCCUGAGCAGCCAGACUGCAGAGGGAAUGAGCGGACCGAAAACAGUGUGGCCGCAACUUCCCCACUGCUUUGCGGGAGGUGGAGGGAGUUUCUAGGCUCUUUCCCUGUUGGGGAAUUAAGUAGCUGGGGAUCCCACUGAGUCUCCACCACCCUCUCACCCAUUUUCCACCCCUCCCCCACCACAUAUACAUUCUGCUCCCCCAGUGCCAAAUAACUUGCAUUUUCUGGAACACACCUGUCUGCUUACGGUCUCUGUGCCUUUCUUUGCCCACAUCUCCCCUCUUCUUGAAACACCCCUCCUCCCCUCCAGCGUGGGCUCAUGUGACCUAGAGAAGCACGUGGGAGCCCUGUCAUCUGGGGGACUUGGGUUCAAAUCCCACUUCUGGUCCUUAAGUCUGUGACUCUGGGCCUUUGUUUAAUAACUGGAGGAGUUUCAUUAGGAAAAUGGCAGUGACCACAUAUGUCCCUGGAGUGACUGAUGUGCCACCCACAAGCUUCUAUUUGGUCAGUGCUGGGUCCCAUCGUCCCAUCUAGCAUGCUCCUCUUCCAUCCUCGUGCCCCCACUCAGUGCCAUUGUCUCUGCCUCUCACCCUCUGUGCUGCUAUUCCUGCCCUCAUCACCUCCUCCCUAGGGCAGAGGCCCCGUCUUCUUUACCAUGCCCCAGUGCCAGCACAGUGCUUUGGCAAGUUAUUCAGCACUGGGGGAGUAGAGUGUAUGUGUGGUGGGGGAGGGGGUGGAGAAUGGGUAAGAGGGUGAUGGAGACUCAGGGGGACCCCCAGCUACUUAAUACCCCUGAGGAAGUGUCGGCCGAAGUGGACCCACUCCUGUGACAGUUCACAGCCUAGAAGAGGCGUCUGUAACCACGGUGACCAGUAAGUGCCAGCCCUGGGGCCACGUGGCUGUUCUAGAGAAGGAAGACAGCACUACCCUGAGAGCCAUGCUGGUGGCUUCAUCAGGAAGGGAGUCAGCAGGGGGAGGACUGGGGGACCAAGCGGUCCCUAAGAAGCAGAAUUUGCAAUACCCAAGGUUUUAGAAAGAGCAACCUGGCAGGGCCACUGCACAAUGAGAUCACAGACUCACCUCCCAGCUGUGAGUGCAGCUCACCCCACCUGCUCUGACCCAGGCACCGGUUAUGAAGAAGACAAGCAGCUCUACAGAGGGGCCUCAAGAAAUCCUUCGAAACAGAAAUCAAAGUCUUGCUGGAAGGGUUCUGGGCACCCUGGACUGUCCACAUGGGAGGCUGUUGGUGCGUGUGCCUACGUGUGUCCAUCAGUGGAUGCACGAAGAAGGAAAUGAAUUGAUUCCAUUCUUGAUGUGACUUUCAGCUGUCAGCUGUCUGCACUCCCAGACGGGGUGAUGGCCUGGCACCAACGGAGCAUUACCCUGAUGAAUCAUGGUCGAGGGAACAAUUACCACCUUGAGGAAGGAGGCCUGAAAGCUAAGUCUUUGCUAUUGCAUCCGCCUUCUUCUCACGAAGACCUGCAGCUUGAAAGGAGGGGAGGGAGAAAUAGCCCUAAGCUCCAGGAAGACCAAGCCCAGCCUCUGUGAUGAUUCCGAGGAAAUUCAGGAAAUCCUUGCUAAUGGCCAAACUUCCCGGGUUUGAGAUGCAAAAGGAAAUCAGAUCGCAGGGUAAUGCUUUUACACUAAGCAAGAAAUUGCAGGAUAUAAAGCUGUGCAGACCAUUGCCUCUGAUUAAGAAAGCGAUUCUGAGAUUCCAGCCUGGAAGGAACCGGGCCCCAGUGUUAACUGUGGUUAAUUCUGGGUGGAGGGGUGAUGGGUGAUAAUUUCUCCUUUUUCUUUUCUGUACUAACCAUUAAUACUGGGGGGAUGGGCAGUUAAAAAUCAAAGGAAGAAAACAUAAAGAAAGCCAAAUCCUUUUCCAUCUGUAGCCAUUCAAGCUACUGCCUGGACACGCUCUCCUUGAAGCUGGGGCUCCUCUCUCAGCCCCACCUAACAUGGCCCACCUCCUUCCUGGGGUCACUCCGUGUUCCUCAAGCACUUCAAACUCAUCCUCUCCUGCCUCUGAGCUGAGCAUAUGGGCCUCUCCCCUUCCUUUAAAAGCUCCAUCCGUGACUGCCUUCUGGGGGUCAGCCACAUAGCUGAGUGAGGACCACAUGCUUCACACCAAAUGAUACAAGAAGCUUGUUCCAAAUCUAUGUGGGUUUUUUGACAUUUUAGAGAGCAGAUGCUUUCCCAUGCUUUCUAAUUCCCUAUUACAUCUAUACAUCUCUUUUAAAAGAUCCUGCAAGUCCUUUUAGUGUCUGGACACAGGUUAUUCCCUCCCUUUCUUUUUUCCCAAUUUCACCUGCCCCAGUCCUCCUGGUCAGUGCUUCUGUUUCCUGCACAAGGAAACAGCCUUGCAAACAUGGUGAACCCUGAAAGCAUGCUGGAAAUGAAAGAAGCCAGGUACAAAAGACAACAUACUAUAUGAUUUCAUUCACAAGAAAUGUGUGUAACAGAAAAAUUUACAGAGACAGAAAAUAAAUUCCUAGUUGCUUAGGGCUGGGAGAGUGGGGUGAGGCCUCUCUACAGAGAUGGCAAUGCCCAGGAUUCAAUCUGAAGAUGUUGUUUAGAUAUCACAGCAUAGUCGGACAAUAGUGAGGACAGUCUGGCAUUGGCGUACAGAUGAACAAAUAGAUUUGUGCAAUAGAAGAAGCCAAACCAGAUUCCAGCCUACCUCCAGUCACCUGAUUUAACAAAGUCAAAGUCACAAAUCAAUAGGGAGAGGAUGGUCUUUUCAGUAAAUGAUACCGUAUCAAUUGACUCGUCAUAUACAGAACAAAAUGAACUUUGGUCCCAUACACACACAAGUCAUAAAAGUUCACUCAAAGUGAAUGAUAGACCUACAUUUGAAAACAAAAGCAAUGCAGGAUCCAGGAGAAAGGGUCCAGGCAGGAGAAUAUUUUUAUGACCUUGGACUAAGCAAGAGAUUCAUAAACAGGACACAAAACCACUAACCACCAAAAAAAAGGACUGAUAAACAUGACAAUUAAAAUGAAGAAUUUAU